rnacentral:rRNA from 1 species
GACGAACGCUGGCGGCGUGCCUAAUACAUGCAAGUCGAGCGAAGUUUUUCUGGUGCUUGCACCGGAAAAACUUAGCGGCGAACGGGUGAGUAACACGUAAAGAACCUGCCUCAUAGACUGGGACAACUAUUGGAAACGAUAGCUAAUACCGGAUAAUAGCAUUAACUGCAUGGUUGAUGUUUAAAAGUUGGUUUUGCUAACACUAUGAGAUGGCUUUGCGGUGCAUUAGCUAGUUGGUGGGGUAAAGGCCUACCAAGGCGACGAUGCAUAGCCGACCUGAGAGGGUGAUCGGCCACACUGGGACUGGGACACGGCCCAGACUCCUACGGGAGGCAGCAGUAGGGAAUCUUCCGCAAUGGGCGAAAGCCUGACGGAGCAACGCCGCGUGAGUGAAGAAGGAUUUCGGCUCGUAAAGCUCUGUUGUUAGGGAAGAAUGAUUGUGUAGUAACGAUACACAGUAGAGACGGUACCUAACCAGAAAGCCACGGCUAACUACGUG